UACGUAGGGUGCAGGCGUUAAUCGGAAUUACUGGGCGUAAAGCGUGCGCAGGCGGUUUGUUAAGAGAGAUGUGAAAUCCCCGGGCUUAACCUGGGAACUGCGUUUCUAACUGGCAAGCUAGAGUGUGGCAGAGGGGGGUGGAAUUCCACGUGUAGCAGUGAAAUGCGUAGAUAUGUGGAGGAACACCGAUGGCGAAGGCAGCCCCUGGGCUAACACUGACGCUGAGGAGCGAAAGCGUGGGGAGCGAACAGGAUUAGAAACCCUGUAGU
rnacentral:rRNA from 1 species